rnacentral:rRNA from 1 species
CCCUUAGAUGUUCUGGGCCGCACGCGCGCUACACUGAUCGAUUCAACGAGUUUUGAAAUAAAUUUUUGAUUUUUUCAUAUCCUUUGUCGGAAGGCAUGGGUAAUCUUUUAAAUGUCGAUCGUGAUGGGGCUAGAUUCUUGCAAUUAUUAAUCUCCAACGAGGAAUUCCUAGUAAACGCAAGUCAUCAGCUUGCAUUGAUUACGUCCCUGCCCUUUGUACACACCGCCCGUCGCACCUACCGAUUGGAUGGUCCGGUGAAGCCUCGGGAUUGUGGUUCUUGCCGCUUUAUUGUGGCGUGACCGCGAGAACUUGUCUAAACCUUAUCAUCUAGAGGAAGGUGAAGUCGUAACA